UUUUCAAUUUUCUCCACAUUCCAGCUGAGUUCCUCAGAUUCAACACCAACCAACCUGAAAAACCUUUCAAAAUCAGCCAAAUUAAGUUCAUUUUCCCUGUUAAUUUUAGGGUUUAUCCAUCACAUCAUAGAUUUUCCACAUAUUUUCUUUGCUCUGCAAAAUCAAGAGGGAGAAACGUUUACAUGGCUGCCUCAGCUGUAUCAUUACACAGCCUGUGCUUGAUGACCCCUUCCCCAUGUCCUUCCAAAUCUUCCAAAACCCUUUCCCGCUCUCCCUUCCUCCAUUCCGAUUCGUUUUCGAGUUUGAAGAACCCAACUCCGCUUUUCAAUCUCCAUAUCAAGAAGAAGCUCACAACCCACAAAUCCCAUUCUCUUCCUCUAGUUUUUGCUGCACAAACCAACUUCUUCAAAGUUAUUCAAACGGCAUGGAGGGUUGCAAACGAUGGAGUUGAAGCUGGAACCAAUAUGGUACCGGCUUCGGUACCAAGACCGGUAGCAAAGGUAUCUGUGACUAUAGUUGGCUUGACCGUUUCGCUCUUUGUUCUCAAGUCUUUCUUGUCCACGGCUUUCUUUGUGCUGGCCACUAUGGGACUCGUAUACUUUACAUUCAUAGCUUUGUAUAAGGAUGAAGGACCAAAAGGAAAUGAAGACAACAUCACUACUAAAGGCACUCCUACCUCUACUGAAGACUCUCUAGAGGAAGCUAAAAGAAUCAUGGAAAAGUACAAGUAGAUCUAGUUCUUGCUCAUUCAUAUUCAAUUUCCCCUAGGAGAACAAAGGAUGACCAACUCGACAAAAUUGUCAUAUUAUAUACAGCAUGUACUCGAAAGCCUUGUUGAUCUCUGAGAAAGGUAAUCGAUGGGUUAUGAACUUUUCCACUUGCAGUUUCUGUGGGACCAAAAGUAAAUUUUCCUUGAGUUUUUCAUCCAUGGCAAUCCAUUUCUUUAUAAAUAUAAGGAUAGGUAAUUAUUUGGUACCCUGUAUUUUUGUAAAGUAUCGUUUUUGUAUCUUAUAUUUACAUUAAUGCUCAUUUGGUAUUCUGUA